rnacentral:rRNA from 1 species
UACGGAAGGCAGCAGUGGGGAAUAUUGCACAAUGGGCGCAAGCCUGAUGCAGCCAUGCCGCGUGUAUGAAGAAGGCCUUCGGGUUGUAAAGUACUUUCAGUCGUGAGGAAGGUGUUAAGGUUAAUAACCUUAGCAAUUGACGUUAGCGACAGAAGAAGCACCGGCUAACUCCGUGCCAGCAGCCGCGGUAAUACGGAGGGUGCGAGCGUUAAUCGGAAUUACUGGGCGUAAAGGGCACGCAGGCGGUUAAUUAAGUUGGAUGUGAAAUCCCCGGGCUUAACCUGGGAAUGGCAUUCAAGACUGGUUAGCUAGAGUCUUGUAGAGGGGGUAGAAUUCCAUGUGUAGCGGUGAAAUGCGUAGAGAUGUGGAGGAAUACCGGUGGCGAAGGCGGCCCCUGGACAAAGGCUGACGCUCAUGCGCGAAAGCGUGGGGAGCAAAC